rnacentral:misc_RNA from 1 species
GAUGAAGAACGUAGCGAAAUGCGAUAAGUAAUGUGAAUUGCAGAACUCAGUGAAUCAUCGAAUCUUUGAACGCACAUUGCGCCCCCUGGUAUUCCGGAGGGCAUGUCUGUCCGAGCGUCAUUAGUCCAAUCUCAAGCCCGGCUUGUCGUUGGGUCGCACCGCCCGGGGCGGUGGACCCGAAAUAUAAUGACGGGGUCUAGCGGACCGUGGGCGCAGCGAGCUUUUACAGCACGCGUCCCGGCGUCAUCUAGACGCGUCUCCAACCAUACUCUCUGUAGGUUGACCUCGGAUCAGACAGGAUUACCCGCUGAACUUAAGCAUAUCAAUAAGCGGAGGA